rnacentral:sRNA from 1 species
AAUGGAAAUCCACAGGGGUCUAGCUCAUCGAGGGCAGAGUUGGGACCACGUCUGGGGCCCCCUGACCCAUGGCUGUGUGCUUCUAUCUCCUCCAGAUGGCCCAAUGGAGGAGUCCAAACCAAAGCCCAGGUCGUUCAUGCCCAACUUGGUGCCUCCCAAGAUCCCCGAUGGAGAGAGAGUGGACUUUGAUGACAUCCACCGGAAGCGCAUGGAGAAGGACCUGAAUGAGUUGCAGGCGCUGAUCGAGGCUCACUUUGAGAACAGGAAGAAAGAGGAGGAGGAGCUCGUUUCUCUCAAAGACAGGAUCGAGAGACGCCGGGCAGAGCGGGCCGAGCAGCAGCGCAUCCGGAAUGAGCGGGAGAAGGAGCGGCAGAACCGCCUGGCUGAAGAGAGGGCUCGACGAGAGGAGGAGGAGAACAGGAGGAAGGCUGAGGAUGAGGCCCGGAAGAAGAAGGCUUUGUCCAACAUGAUGCAUUUUGGGGGUUACAUCCAGAAGCAGGCCCAGACAGAGCGGAAAAGUGGGAAGAGGCAGACUGAGCGGGAAAAGAAGAAGAAGAUUCUGGCCGAGAGGAGGAAGGUGCUGGCCAUCGACCACCUGAAUGAAGAUCAGCUGAGGGAGAAGGCCAAGGAGCUGUGGCAGAGCAUCUAUAACUUGGAGGCAGAGAAGUUCGACCUGCAGGAGAAGUUCAAGCAGCAGAAAUAUGAGGUGGGCCGCCAUGCUGUCCCCGCCCAGCAUCUCCAUCUCACACUCCUCCUGGUUCACUGGGUCCCGUAAUACUGCCGCAGGUCCCUGGGUCCCUGUCCCUAUUCCCCAACAGCCCCCUUCAGCUCCUGCAUCUGCCCCUGCUGCCUGGCUUUCAGCAGUGUUCCAUGUCCACCGCAUUGACGACUGCUUGCUGGAAGUGUCUGAGAGCUCGCUGGGGCUGAGCAGAGACACUUUCCUGGUGUUCCAACCCUGGGGGUCUCCAACACGUCGAGGCAGCAGCUCAGUGAUCUGAGCUGGUUACAAGGACCAGGAUGCACCAAGCCAGGACCCCCAGUGGAAGGGAAGGGCUGCCAACAGAGAGGUGCUUCUCCCCACAUACACCCAAGGCCCUGGUGUGGGCACAAUUAGGCUGAGCCUCAAGCCCACAGUCUUUUGGGGUCCUAUGUGCACUA